GUGGGGAAUUUUGGACAAUGGGCGCAAGCCUGAUCCAGCAAUGCCGUGUGCAGGAAGAAGGCCUUCGGGUUGUAAACUGCUUUUGUACGGAACGAAACGGCUCUGGUUAAUACCCGGGGCUAAUGACGGUACCGUAAGAAUAAGCACCGGCUAACUACGUGCCAGCAGCCGCGGUAAUACGUAGGGUGCAAGCGUUAAUCGGAAUUACUGGGCGUAAAGCGUGCGCAGGCGGUUUUGUAAGACAGGCGUGAAAUCCCCGGGCUCAACCUGGGAAUGGCGCUUGUGACUGCAAAGCUGGAGUGCGGCAGAGGGGGAUGGAAUUCCGCGUGUAGCAGUGAAAUGCGUAGAUAUGCGGAGGAACACCGAUGGCGAAGGCAAUCCCCUGGGCCUGCACUGACGCUCAUGCACGAAAGCGUGGGGAGCAAACAGGAUUAGAUACCCCGGUAGUCC
rnacentral:rRNA from 1 species